UACCACAAGGGCAUGUCUUGGAUGACUCCA
rnacentral:piRNA from 1 species